CCAGUGCUCACUGUCCUCACUCUCACAAUCACUCUUCGCCAGAAUGUCUGCUAACGAUUUAAUCCUCCAGACGCCACUACCUACCUGCAAUAAUACUUCUCAGCUCCAUUGCUGGUCUGUUUGCCAGGUUCAUUGGCUCACUUCCCUACUCUCAGAGAAAGCUUGGAUCAUAGCUCUGGAUAACUCACACGGCUCACCCGGACCACCUCCCCCUCUCCAUGGUCCGUCCCCGCCUGAUAAAAAGACUCUGAGCGCCUGUGUGUCCCAGUUCCCGGUCGCUAAUGGGUUCCUGUACCGGCAGUUACCCGAUAUCUGGUUUCCCCGACUCCUGCUCUCACUAAACUAAUACAGUUUUCUGGACUCUCUCUCGGCUCAUGGUUUUUGACUUGUGUAUAUGUUAAAGCCUCACUCUUAAAACAGUUACUGCUCAUGGUGUAUCCUAGUAAGACUCCUAGAAUUACUCUAGUACUAAGUUUAUGGCUCAUGCUUUGUGCAUAGUCUAAGUUUCAUAGUUUAAGUUCAUUGUGAGUGUUGCGAUUUUCAUCCAUACAUAAAGCCGCGGCCGGCUGAGUUGGUUGUGUCCCUGUGACGCGCCUCCAAUAAUCCAUAAUGAGUCGUACUUGUACUUUGCGCAUUUAUUUUAAGAGCAAAACAAAAACAAACUUUUGCGCUUUCAAUCAAAUUACAAAUAGCGCAUGCAUUAACUGAUGUGCCAAAAAAUGACGGUCAACAGAAAAGU